CCUCUCCCUCUCCCUCUCCCGAUCUCAACCCUCUCUCGAUCUCCCUCUCCCGAUCUCAACCCUCUCUCUCAAUCUCCCUCUCACUCUCCCUCCCUCUCUCGAUCUCCCUCUCCCUGCAACAUCAACCAUUCCACGACAGUCCCCACACAUUGGGUAUCUAAUAUUGUAGAAGCAGCAGCAGUAGCUCCAUAUGGGGUGUGUGAUCUGUCGUACACGGUUGAAUGGGGAAGACUGAAGGGAGGGAGUGAGUGCAGCAGCAGCAGCAGCAACAACGAAUUCCUAGAAAACUACAAGGACCGAUUUCUUGCUGCUUUGCCAGCACCUCGUUGAGCAAGUGUUGACUUCAGUCGGCCUAUUUUCACAGCCACUGCAUUCUACUUGUGUGCAAAAAGGCAAAAGGUAGCUAAUCAUUGAAAUCCUUUCUUCUCUUUCCAUUUCAACCUGCCUGAUUUUUUAAAAUGUUUCUUACGCUUCAGUGUUUACUUGUUUUGCAGCUUAAAGUAGACAAGAUUAAGCUUAUUGAGCUAUGUGGCACAUCAGAAUCUGAAUUUACUAGUGUUUUCCUGCAUCAAUUUUCUCAUAAGAUGUUGCUUCUUGUGCAACAGAUUCUGUACAUGCAUGUUUCCAUUUUCACCAAGACACUAAGAAUAAAAGACAAACAACAGAUGACUGUGACUCUGUAACAGCCAAAAAGUUAGAGUGCCACCAAUUUUAUAGUUAGUAGUAGCAAAGGUGGAAAUGGAGGGUAGAGAUGUGGAUAGAAAUUCAAAAUAAACAUGUUACUUACAAGGAGAAAGAAAUCAUACCUUACCAAGUUGGCUAGUUGUGGCCAGUAGUACAUUACAUUUAUGUUUAUUUUGGAUUACAAAGAAAUCAUACCUUUGUACUCUUAUUGAGGUCAA